AACGAACGCUGGCGGCAUGCCUAACACAUGCAAGUCGAACGAGACCUUCGGGUCUAGUGGCGCACGGGUGCGUAACGCGUGGGAACCUGCCCUUAGGUUCGGAAUAACUCCCCGACAGGGGUGCUAAUACCGGAUAAUGUCUUCGGACCAAAGAUUUAUCGCCUUUGGAUGGGCACGCGUUGGAUUAGCUAGUUGGUAGGGUAAAAGCCUACCAAGGCGACGAUCCAUAGCUGGUCUGAGAGAAUGAUCAGCCACACUGGGACUGGGACACGGCCGAGACUCCUACGCGAGGCAGCAGUGGGGAAUAUAGGACAACGGGCGAAAGCCUGAUGCAGCAAUGCCGCGUGAGUGAUGAAGGCCUUAGGGUUGUAAAGCUCUUUUACCCGGGAUGAUAAUGACAGUACCGGAAGAAUAAGCUCCGGCUAACUCCGUG
rnacentral:rRNA from 1 species